GGUUAACGCGAGGAGACAGACAUGGGACUCACGCAAUCCUUGAAUGUUCUGUUGGUCAGUGCAGCGUUUGCUUUCGUCUUGUCCAUGCUCUUCAUCUGAGCUGGCCGACGAAAGUGUAAUGACUGAUAGUGCCUAAACUCCUGAAUAGCUGAUCAAUCCGCCAACGAAAAAGCGCAUGUCCCGCCCGACAUGCGCUUU
rfam:Rhizobium leguminosarum bv. viciae chromosome complete genome, strain 3841